ACGAACGCUGGCGGCGUGCUUAACAAAUGCAAGUCGAACGGAAAGGCCCUGCUUUUGUGGGGUGCUCGAGUGGCGAACGGGUGAGUAACACGUGAGUAACCUGCCCUUGACUUUGGGAUAACUUCAGGAAACUGGGGCUAAUACCGGAUAGGAGCUCCUGCUGCCUGGUGGGGGUUGGAAAGUUUCGGCGGUUGGGGAUGGACUCUCGGCUUAUCAGCUUGUUGGUGGGGUAGUGGCUUACCAAGGCUUUGACGGGUAGCCGGCCUGAGAGGGUGACCGGCCACAUUGGGACUGAGAUACGGCCCAGACUCCUACGGGAGGCAGCAGUGGGGAAUAUUGCACAAUGGGCGGAAGCCUGAUGCAGCAACGCCGCGUGCGUGAUGACGGCCUUCGGGUUGUAAACCGCUUUCGCCUGUGACGAAGCGUGAGUGACGGUAAUGGGUAAAGAAGCACCGGCUAACUACGUG
rnacentral:rRNA from 1 species